rnacentral:rRNA from 1 species
GAUGAACGCUAGCUACAGGCUUAACACAUGCAAGUCGAGGGGCAGCAUGAAAGGAACUUCGGUUCUUUUUGAUGGCGACCGGCGCACGGGUGCGUAACGCGUAUCGAACCUGCCUCAUACUCGGGGAUAGCCUUGCGAAAGUAAGAUUAAUACCCGGCGGUCUCGGAUGGCCGCAUGACUAUCCGAGUGAAGAUUUAUCGGUAUGAGAUGGCGAUGCGUCCCAUUAGCUAGUUGGUGAGGUAACGGCUCACCAAGGCAUCGAUGGGUAGGGGUUCUGAGAGGAAGGUCCCCCACAUUGGAACUGAGACGCGGUCCAAACUCCUACGGGAGGCAGCAGUGAGGAAUAUUGGUCAAUGGACGCAAGUCUGAACCAGCCAAGUAGCGUGCAGGAAGACGGCCCUCUGGGUUGUAAACUGCUUUUAGUUGGGAAUAAAAAGAGGGACGUGUCCCUUAUUGUAUGUACCAUCAGAAAAAGGACCGGCUAAUUCCGUGCCAGCAGCCGCGGUAAUACGGAAGGUCCAGGCGUUAUCCGGAUUUAUUGGGUUUAAAGGGAGCGCAGGCGGCGGCGUAAGUCAGUUGUGAAAUCGUGCGGCUUAACCGUGCAAUUGCAGUUGAUACUGCGUCGCUUGAGUGCACACAGGGAUGUUGGAAUUCAUGGUGUAGCGGUGAAAUGCUUAGAUAUCAUGAAGAACUCCGAUCGCGAAGGCAUAUGUCCGGAGUGCAACUGACGCUGAGGCUCGAAAGUGUGGGUAUCAAACAGG